UACGGAGGGUGCGAGCGUUGUCCGGAAUCACUGGGCGUAAAGGGCGCGUAGGUGGCGGGCCAAGUCAACGGUGAAAGCUCGCCGCUCAACGUCGAGUCGGCCGUCGAUACUGGUAUGCUGGAGCACUGUAGAGGCCAAUGGAAUUCCGGGUGUAGCGGUGGAAUGCGUAGAGAUCCGGAAGAACACCGGUGGCGAAGGCGGGUGGCUGGGCAGUUGCUGACACUGAGGCGCGACAGCGUGGGGAGCAAACAGG
rnacentral:rRNA from 1 species